UUGAUAGAAUUCGAGUGUUAAUACAAUAACGUCAGAGUCAAAUGGAUCUAAAAUCCUUGAUUUAAAAUUAAA